rnacentral:rRNA from 1 species
GAUGAACGCUGGCGGCGUGCCUAAUACAUGCAAGUCGAGCGAACGGACGAGAAGCUUGCUUCUCUGAUGUUAGCGGCGGACGGGUGAGUAACACGUGGAUAACCUACCUAUACGACUGGGAUAACUUCGGGAAACCGUAGCUAAUACCGGAUAAUAUUUUGAACCGCAUGGUUCAAAAGUGAAAGACGGUCUUGCUGUCACUUAUAGAUGGAUCCGCGCUGCAUUAGCUAGUUGGUAAGGUAACGGCUUACCAAGGCAACGAUGCAUAGCCGACCUGAGAGGGUGAUCGGCCACACUGGAACUGAGACACGGUCCAGACUCCUACGGGAGGCAGCAGUAGGGAAUCUUCCGCAAUGGGCGAAAGCCCGACGGAGCAACGCCGCGUGAGUGAUGAAGGUCUUCGGAUCGUAAAACUCUGUUAUUAGGGAAGAACAUAUGUGUAAGUAACUGUGCACAUCUUGACGGUACCUAAUCAGAAAGCCACGGCUAACUACGUG